AGAGUUUGAUCCCGGCUCAGAAUCAACGCUGGCGGCGCGCUUAACACAUGCAAGUCGAACGAGAAAGCGGGGGCAACCUCGUGAGUAAAGUGGCGUACGGGUGAGUAACACGUGGAUCAUCUACCUCCGGGUACGGAAUAACGCAGGGAAACCAGCGCUAAUACCGUAUAAGCUUGAGAAAGGAAAGCGGUUUUGUGAAAGCAAAGCCGCGCCGGGAGAGGAGUCCGCGGCCGAUUAGCUAGUUGGUGAGGUAACGGCCCACCAAGGCGAAGAUCGGUAGCCGGCCUGAGAGGGCACACGGCCACACUGGCACUGAAACACGGGCCAGACUCCUACGGGAGGCAGCAGUGGGGAAUCUUGCACAAUGGGGGCAACCCUGAUGCAGCGACGCCGCGUGAGCGAUGAAGCCCUUCGGGGUGUAAAGUUCUUUCGGCAGGGAAGAAACAUGACGGUACCUGCAGAAGCAGCUGCGGCUAACUACGUGCCAGCAGCCGCGGUAAUACGUAGGCAGCGAGCGUUGUUCGGAGUUACUGGGCGUAAAGGGUGUGUAGGCGGUCCUCUAAGUUUGGUGUGAAAUCUCCCGGCUUAACCGGGAGGGUGCGCCGAAAACUGGGGGACUAGAGUGCGGGAGGGGAGAGUGGAAUUCCUGGUGUAGCGGUGAAAUGCGUAGAUAUCAGGAGGAACACCGGUGGUGUAGACGGCUCUCUGGACCGUAACUGACGCUGAGACACGAAAGCGUGGGUAGCAAACAGGAUUAGAUACCCUGGUAGUCCACGCCCUAAACGAUGCAUAUUUGGUGUAGGUCAUUCAGUUGAUCUGUGCCGGAGCUAACGCGUUAAAU
rnacentral:rRNA from 1 species